CUGAAAUUGUUGGGGAGAGGAGAGGAAAAGAGAAAGGAGAAGAAGGAGAGGAAGAAGAGAGGAAGAAUAGAAGAAGGAGAAGGAGAAGGAGAAGAAAGCUGGUUCUUGGAGUUGCUUGGGCUGCAUGGAGAUUGUAUGCUACUGCUGUCCUCCUGUUGCUGUUGUAGAGUAGAUGAUGGUGCAAGCAAAGGAGCUGCUGUGCAUGGCUGCUGGCAAGCUUGGAGCUGUCCAAGAUGAAAUUCUGCUGCAAAUGUUGUGUUACCGCUGUCCAAAUUUGGUUUCAACUGAGUUACUACUGCAUGUGCUGUUGUGCUACUGCUGUACUUGUCCUGAGAGAUGGUGGAACCGGUGCUAAGGCAAGAUUUGGAUUUCAGUGGUGGUUAUGAGGCUUGUGUCUGCGAGGCACAUGGAUUCUAAUGGACGUUACUUUGCUAUUAUUUUAUGUAAAUAUUUAUGAAUUGUGUAAGAUGUAGUUUAUUAUACCUGUGGGUUGAUGUCAUUGGGCUUGUACUAAUGUGUCUGACAUCUCAACGAAUCACCAGUGAUAUGUAUUAUUUAUGAUUUUAUA